UGACAUGAACNCAGUGCUCAGAUAGCU
rnacentral:piRNA from 1 species